rnacentral:ncRNA from 1 species
AAUGGUAUCAAGGCAAUUAUGAGUUUUUAGCUAGAUUAGGACUUUAGCUCCUGAUAGGAAAAGGUUGCAUGCUGUUUAUCAAAUAGGGCACUUUUAACUUCAGUAGAUACUGUUCAUAUGUUUGCUAGUCAAACAUGAAUCAUCUUAAUAUCUUCAUGAAUUGAUGAAUAGUAAUUGUAUGAACUAAUGAAUUGUAAAUAAACUCAUUCUUUCUACCUAUAUGUCUAAUGUGAGACUUCCCAGAGGGUUGAGGGCUAAAGGCACAAUAGGGUAUUGGUAGGAUGUAGGAAUGACAACAGGCUCGUAAUCAUGACAUGUCAUCUAUCCUGCAAAAAGACAACUGCUUAGGUGGACAAGCCACCUUUACUUAAUCUGGAAAAGGAACAUGUAUAGUUUUAUAUAUGCUUGAUAAAUAGCCAAAAGCCUUGUCACAUCUAAUUUAGCGACACAUAUGAAUGCAUGAACAAGACUCCUACUGUUCCUACCUCCUAUCUAGCAAAAUCACAGCCAAGGGAACAGGCUUAGCUGAAUCAGUAGAGAAAGAAGACGCUGUUGAGCUUGACUCUAGCCUGGUGUUGUGAAGACACGAGAGGUGUAGAAUAACUGGGAGAGCAGGCACAUGCUCAGCAGUGCAGAGCAACCCACCCGCUGGUGUCCCAUCAGUGAAGGACCACUACUGUGAUCUGUUUUUCACUUAGCUGGUGAGGCAGGGGGUGAGCUGCAAGGACACACACACACACAAAGUAAGUUGAGGCUCAGAACUCUGAAGGACUGCAAAAAAAGAAGGCAAAAAGAAAAAGAGGCAGACACCUACAAUAAUAUACAAUAGGAACUUCACAGCAUUACAGAAUCAUUGGGGUUGGAAGCGGCCUCUGGAGAUCCCUCAAGACUUUUCAUUAGAAGCAAUGUCUAUACACACAAAACCUCAAUCACCAUUUCAGGACAUAAAGGACACAAAUUUGAUUAUUGUAUUUUUUUUGUCUCUUCCCCGUUUCAGACUGUCAUGGUUCAAGCCCAGCCAGCAAUUCAGAAACACGCAGCCGCUCGCUCACUGCCCACCCCCUUCCUUCCUCCCCCCGCUCCUGGAGGGAUGGGGAGCAGAAUCGGAGGAAUGUAACUCCCACGGGUUGAGAUAACAGCACUCCAGUAACUAAGGUAUAAUACAAACCACUACUGCUACCAAUAAUAAUGAUAAGAGGAAUAACAAGGAAAAGGACACAACCGCUCACCACCCGCCGACCGAUAC